GACGAACGCUGGCGGCGUGCUUAACACAUGCAAGUCGAACGGAAAGGCCCUGCUUGCAGGGUACUCGAGUGGCGAACGGGUGAGUAACACGUGGGUGAUCUGCCCUGCACUUCGGGAUAAGCCUGGGAAACUGGGUCUAAUACCGGAUAGGAGCCAUUUUUAUUGUGAUGGUUGGAAAGUUUUUUCGGUGUAGGAUGAGCUCGCGGCCUAUCAGCUUGUUGGUGGGGUAAUGGCCUACCAAGGCGGCGACGGGUAGCCGGCCUGAGAGGGUGGACGGCCACAUUGGGACUGAGAUAGGGCCCAGACUCCUACGGGAGGCAGCAGUGGGGAAUAUUGCACAAUGGGCGCAAGCCGGAUGCAGCGACGCCGCGUGGGGGAUGACGGCCUUCGGGUUGGAAACUCCUUUCGCUAGGGACGAAGCUUUUUGUGACGGUACCUAGAGAAGAAGCACCGGCUAACUACGUG
rnacentral:rRNA from 1 species